GAAACGAACACGAUUAAAAUAGACCAAAAGAAAAGAAAGAAAAGAAAACCUUUCUAUGUACAGAUUCUAAAUCGUACUCCCCAUACAGUCAGAGGCAGGGAGUCGAGGGCAGAGGCAGCAGGCGGAGAGAGGGAGAUAGGGCGAGGGAAGGAGAACGCGGAGAGAGACGAAGGGAGUGGGAGACCAGCGACAGCGAGCGCCAGGGCACCGCAGGCACACUGGAUGCCCAGUCCGCCGGCCCAGCCGCCCUCGGACCCUGGACCGUGCGUCGUGGGCACCAGAAACGAGACUCGGCCAAAUCCUGCCUCACCAGCAGGUAGAUGAAACUCAAGAGAAAAGGUGUGGAUAAAUGAAACUAGCCCAUGAUGAACCUGUUUUCUCCGUGACCACAAUAUUAACCAGGAUGAAUGGCGGUGGCAGUGGGCCUGCAUCACAGGUUGCAGCAGAUGUUCUCAAUAUUUCUAUUAAAAUUUCCUUAUUUCCAUAUGCAAGAGGAGCCCCAGAGCUGCAUCCUUAUGGUAGCUACCAUGCCGUGAUGUAAGCUGCCAUUCACUGGGGAGCUUUGGCAAUAGAAUUGGCUAGAUCAGGAAGCCUAUGUCAACUAUGGAACAACAACUUGCAGCUCAUCUCUAUUGAUGUCUUGGGUACAUCUUUAUCAGCAGCAUGAAAAUAGACUAAUACAGUCAAUUUGUACCAGUAGAGUGGGGUGUUGCUGAAAAGAUACCUGAAAAUGUGGAAGCGACUUUGGAAAUGGGUAACAGGCAGAGAUUGGAACAGUUUGGAGGGCUCAGAAGAAGAUAGGAAAAUGUGGGAAAGUUUGGAACAUCCUAGAAAUUUGUUGAAUGGCUUUGAAAAGAAGCUGAUAGUGAUAUGAACAAUAAGGUCCAGACUGAGAUGAUCUCAGAUGGAGAUGAGGUACUUGUUGGGAACUGGAGCAAAGGUGACUCUUGUUACGUUUUAGCAAAGAGACUGGUGGCAUUUUGCCCCUGCCCUAGAGAUUUGUGGAACUCUGAACUUGAGAGAGAUGAUUUGGGGUAUCUGGAAGAAGAAAUUUAUAAGCAGCAAAGCAUUCAAAAAGUGACUUGGGUGCUGUUAAAAGCAUUCUGUUUUAAAAGGGAAACAGAGCAUAAAAGUUCCUGAUGAUUCAGUAGCCUCAUGAUGCAGUAGAAAAGAAAAACCCAUUUUUCUGAGGAGAAAUUCAAGCCAGCUGCAGAAAUUUGCAUAAGUAGCAAGGAGCCUAAUGUUAAUCCCCAAGACCGUGGGGAAAAUGUCUCCAGGCCAUGUCUCUAGGCCAUGUCAGAGACCUUCACAGCAGGCCCUCCCAUCACAAGCCUGGAGGCCCGGAAGAAAAAUGUGGUUUUGGGGCCAGGCCCAGGGUCCCCAUGCUGUGUGCAGCCUAGGAACUUGGUGCCUUUUGUCCCAGCCGCUCCAGUCAUGGCUGAAAGGGGCCAAUGUAAAGCUUGGGCUGUGGCUUCAGAGGGUGGAAGCCCCAAGCCUUGGCAGCUUCCCAGUGGUAUUGAGCCUGCAAGGGCACAGAAGUCAAGAAUUGAGGUUUGGAAACCUCUGCCUGGAUUUCAGAAGAUGUGUGGAAACUCCAGGAUGCACAGACAAAAGUUUGCUGCAGGGGCAGGGCCCUCAUGGAGAACCUCUGCUGGGGCAGUGCAGAAGGGAAAUGUGGGGUUGGAGUCCCUACAGAGAGUUCCUACUGGGGCAUUUCCUAGUGGAGCUGUGAGAAGAGGGGCACCGUCUUCCAGACCCCAGAAUGGUAGACCACUGACAGCUUUCACCAUGCACCUGGAAAAGCUGCAGACACGCAACAUUAGCCUGUGAAAGCAGCUGGGAAGGGAGGCUAUACCCUGCAAAGCCACAGGGAUGGAGCUGCCCAAGACCAUGGGAACCGACCUCUUGCAUCAGCAUGACCUGAAUGUGAGACCUGGAGUCAAAGGAGAUCAUUUAAUUUGACUGCCCUACUGGAUUUUGGACUUGCAUGGGCCCUGUAACCACUUUGUUUUGGCCAAUUUCUUUCAUUUGGAACAGCUGUAUUUACCCAAUACCUGUACCCCCAUUGUAUUUAGGAAGUAACUAGAUUGCUCUUGAUUUUACAGGCUUAUAGGCGGAAGGGACUUGCCUGGUCUCAGAUGAGACUUUCGACUGUGGACUUUUAGGUUAAUACUGAAAUGAGUUAAGACUUUGGAGGACUGUUGGGAAGGCAUGAUUGGUUUUGAGAUGUAAGAACAUGAGAUUUGGUGGGACCAGGGGCAGGAUGAUAUGGUUUGGCUGUGUCCCUACCCAAAUAUCAACUUGAAUUGUAUCUCCCAGAAUUCCCAUGUAUUGUGGGAGGGACCCAGGGGGAGGUAAUUGAAUCAUGGGGGCUGAUCUUUCCUGUGCUAUUCUCAUGACAGUGACUAAGUUUCAGGAGAUCUGAUGGGUUUAUCAGGGGUUUCCACUUUUGCUUCUUCCUCAUUUUCUCUUGCUGCUGCCAUGUAAGAAGUGCCUUUUGCCUCCCACCGUGAUUCUGAGGCCUCCCCAGCCAUGUGGAACUUUAUUUCUUCCACUGACAUCUUGAACCCCUCAGUCAUCCAUGAGGCUUGGAAUCAACUUCUUCCAAACUCCUGCUCAUGUUGAUAUUUUGAUCUCCUUUUAUGAAACAUGGAUGUUUUAAUAGCAUCUAGAAUGAGAAAUCUUUUCCAGAAGGCUUUCAAUUGACUUUGCCCAGAUCCAUCAGAGGAAUCGCUAUCUAUGACAGGACCUCUAACAAUGAUAUUGGAAGAAUAGAUACUAAGUCUUGGAGAGACAAAAAUCAAGCAUCAGACAAGAGACUAAAAUAA
ensembl:lncRNA NR2F1-AS1 NR2F1 antisense RNA 1